UUGCUUAAGGCAAAGUUUCUUGUGGUUACAGGGAUCAAAACUUGCACUUUGUGGAAUCUCCUGCACUUGCUCCUCCUGAAGUCCAAAUCGAUUUGGCUGCACAGCAUCUGCAUGAAGCUGAGCUCGCUGCAGCUGCCAGUCAGCCAUUGCCUGAUGACGACGAUGAUGCCUUCGAGUAAAAGCUUUCAAUUAGAAGGAUCCUUGUGUGGUGCAUUCCUUUGAUGGCCAAAUUAUUUUCUUGUUAUUUUGGGAUUGUCAAGCUUUUCCAUCCCGGAUUCAAGUUCCUAAUGUAGGGGUUUCUCAUUCUUGAUAGAUUGUGAUUUUGGAUUUGCUUGGGGGGAAGAUCCUAGUUGUACGACUCAGUUCACAUGGAUGAGAGAUUUUUAUGGUUAAUGCUCACUUCCGAUUUGCUUC